rnacentral:rRNA from 1 species
GUGGCGCACGGGUGAGUAACGCGUAGAUGAUAUGCCUUUUAGUGGGGGAUAACAGUUGGAAACGGCUGCUAAUACCGCAUAAGCUUGGUGACAUUGGAAAAACCAAGGAAAGGGGGCUUCGGCUCUCGCUAGAAGAUUGGUCUGCGUGACAUUAGCUUGAUGGUGGGGUAAUGGCCUACCAUGGCAACGACGGGUAGCUGGUCUGAGAGGAUGAUCAGCCACACUGGGACUGAGACACGGCCCAGACUCC